rnacentral:misc_RNA from 1 species
GAAAUGCGAUAAGUAGUGUGAAUUGCAGAAUUCAGUGAAUCAUCGAAUCUUUGAACGCACAUUGCGCCCCUUGGUAGUCCAUGGGGCAUGCCUGUUCGAGCGUCAUUUGUACCCUCAAGCUCUGCUUGGUGUUGGGUGUUUGUCCCGUCUCCGCGCGUGGACUCGCCCCAAAGUGAUUGGCAGCCGGCGUACUGGUCCCGGAGCGCAGCACAUGUCGCGCAAACGAGUGCCUUGGUACGGCGGCGUCCAUAAGCCCCUCUCUCACGCUCUUGACCUCGGAUCAGGUAGGGAUACCCGCUGAACUUAAGC